rnacentral:miRNA from 1 species
CAUGUGCCUUGGCUCUCCAUC